CUCCAAGUUUAAUUUUCACUGCUUAACAAAAGCGAUGUAGAAAGCAAUUACUGUACCCUCCAUUAAUCCUUUCGGAUUGCAUGGAAUUCCUUCCAGAAAAUUCCAAUAGAAAAAAAGUUAAGACAGGUAAUCGCGUUUUGGUACGUGUGUCGUCUCUGGCACAAGUCAUGUAGAGUGAAAUCCUUUAAGACAUUUAAAUGUUCCUGGUAUUGUUUUGUGAUUAACGUGAUAAAAUUGCCAAACAAUCCAUAUUUACCAUGAGUGAAAACACUUCCACCACGUACGGAAAAUCUCUCCAAAACACAAAAUCUGAUUCAAAAAUUAUAAGUAAAAAGAGAAUAAAUGUAAAAACAAUUCCAUAAACAAACUUUGAAAUGCGUAUACGAUGACAUUACUGAAGCCAUUACUCAAAACGAACCUCUGUAAAAUCGAGAACGCACAAUCAAUGCAAUAAAAUGCUCGAGAAAGCCAAACCCGAGGCGCUGCGCAGUUCCCGCAUCGCACAAUUCGUUUCAACACAUUCCUUGACGAAUACACCCAAGGUCACUCACGAUGGAGAGGAAAAGUGCCUGUCUCUCUCCAGAGCACGCAACCCGUUCGCCGCGCCCCCACGGAGGGCGGCGAAGAGACGGCGCAUCAGGAAAGGGGCUGCGCGGGCGCGAGGACUGGCCGGUGGGCGUUCCGGCGCCGCGAACCGCGGAGCCUGCAACUUACAAGUAGGACGUUGAAGAAAGGACAAGCCCCCUUUGUCCUGGACGUAAGCCGCAAGUCGUCCUGAGUGGUGCACACCGCGAAGACUGAGGAAACUGGAUCACAGGGCUGGGCCGUGAGCCUUGAACCUCGGAGAACGUCGCAUUACUGCUCCAGCGCGCCGGUUCAGGGCCGCGGGACGCGAGCCCUUUAAAAGGAUGGAUUUGCUUCCUGUGACUCCCUGGAAGAGACGUCUUCACCACCGCACUGCGUAGAGGCCGGCGUCGUCGCCGGCUCACCCCGCUUGCUGCCUCCCCGCACAAAGCCCAGCCCAGGUAGCUCAGGUUAGCUGGAGCCCCGGAGCCUCACCUACAAGUACCUGGCCUGUCCUAGGUUGUGUGGGGACGGGAUGUGGCUUCUGCAAGCCCAGAAACCUGUUUCCACUCCCCCACCACAAAUGGAACUCACCCAGCUCUACUCGCAAGGUUAGGAGCCAAAAAUUCCCAUGAUCGCACGCGAAUUCAUUUGACUUCCGUUUCAGUUAAGAUGCCUUUUCAGCAUUUUGUUGCUUGUUUGCAGAAGGGAGAGAGGUAGGAUCAAGAAUAGUUUUUACUCCUGCAGAGUCGAGUGCGAGACUUGGAGGCUGAGUCCAGGCGCUCUCCCCUCCCCGCCAGUCCCGUGUCCUGGAGCAGGUCACUGACCUGGUUCCUCGAGUGCGACAGCGCAGCCUCAUCGUAAUAAACCGCCUCCCAAAGCGUUGUCAGAUCAAAUUCCAGAACAUGUUACUGGAAAGCACCUUGAACACUCUAAACUGCAGCACAGUUAUUAGUUAGCAAUACUCUUUGGGGUUUCACUGGCACCUUUUCUAACAAAUAAGAUUGAUAGAUGCCUGCUCAAACAAAUUGAAGUGCUUGUCUCAGAUGACACACUUGGCAGGCAUGGGACGUUCACAGGCCAACUAGAGAGCUAAUUUCAAACGGAGUCUCACUCUGUUCCCCAGGCUGCAGUGCAGUGGCAUGAUCUCGGCCCACUGCAACCUCCGCUUCCUGGGUUCAAGCAAUCCUCACAUUUCAGCCUCCCGAGUAGCUGGGAUUACAGGCGCGCACCACCAUGUCCAGCUAAUUUUUAAAAAUAUUUUUAGUAGAGACGGGGUUUCGCCAUGUUGGCCAGGCCGGUCUCAAACUCCUGGCCUCCAGCAAUCCGCUGGCCUCGGCCUCCUGAAGUGCUAGGAUUACAGGCGUGAGCCACCGCGCCUGGCCUGUUUAAUGUCUUGCAGUGGGGUCAUCUCCGAAACAAAGAGGGAUGGGAAGAAGGUAGGUGCCAAGAAGUCUGCUGGUUGGAAGAUUUCAUCUCAUUGGCGAGAUCCCUGGGUUUCUCCACCUCAGCAGUGUUGGCUUUUGGGAUGGGAUAAUCCUUUCAUGUGGGGUCUGUUCCAUGCUUUGUAGGAUGUUUGACAGCAUCCCUGGCCUCCACCCACUAGAUGCCAGUAGCACACACACUCCUCCAAAAUUCACGGAAAACGUCUUCAAAGUCAAAUAUGUGGCCCCACCUUCAUCUCCAUCCCCAACCCCUGAUUUAAAAUUUGCCACUGGUGAUGAUCUCAUUGGGAGCUAUUGAGAAUACACAGGACUGUGGUUUACACCUGUAAUCCCAACACUUUGGGAGGCUGAGGCUGGAGGAUGGCUUGAGCCCAGGAGUUUGAGACCAGCCUGGGCAACAUAGCAAGACCCCAACUCUAAAAUAAAUAAAAUUUUAAAAAAUUUUAAAAAGGCCAAGAACAGUGGCUCUCACCUGUAAUCCCAGCACUUUGGGAGGCCGAGGCAAGUGGAUCACUUGAGGUCAGGAGUUUGAGACCAGCCUGGCCAACACAGUGAAACCCCAUCUCUGCUAAAAAUACAAAAAUUAGCGAGGCGUGGUGGUGCACGCCUGUAAUCCCAGCUGCUCCAGAGACUGAGGCAGGAGAAUCGCUUGAACCCAGGAGGCAGGGUUUGCAGUGAGUCGAGACUGUGCCACUGCACUCCAGCCUGGGUGACGGAGUCAAACUCCAUCUCAAAAAAAAAUACACAGGAUUGUGGCUCAUGCCUGUAAUACCGGCACUUUGGGAGGCCAAGGUGGUAGGAUGGCUUGAGCCCAGGAGUUCAGGACCAGCCUGGGCAACAUAGCAAGACCCCAACUGUACAAUAAAUAAAUAAAAUUUUUUAAAAUGAAACAAAGGCCGGCCAGCUGCAAUGGCUCACGCCUGUAAUCCCAGCACUUUGGGAGGCCGAGGCAGGCAGAUCACUUGAGGUCAGGAGUUCUAGACCAGCCUGGCCAACGUGGUGAAACCCCAUUUCUACUAAAAAUAUAAAAAUUAGCCAGCCGUGGUGGCAGGCACCAGUAAUCCGAGCUAUUUAGGAGGCUGAGGCAGGAGAAUCGCUUGAACCCAGGAGGCAGGGGUUACAGUGAGCCGAGAUUGCACCACUGCACUCCAGCCUGGACAACAAGAGUGAGACUCCAUCUCAAAAAAAAAAAAUUAAAAAUAAAAGAAUGCACAGUCCAGUAAUGUCACCCAGCCCUAUAUCAGUAAAGGUCACACUCUAGAGUGGUACAUAUCUCAGCUGCAUCUAAGGCCUUGCUAAUUAGCUCAUUAGAAUGUCACAAAUGGGUUUUUAUAUUACCCAUGUAUAGCUGCCAAAAAUGUUUAAGUGAAUCUAAUCAAAGUUGGAAAAAAAAAUAAGAAAAAUCCAGGUUGGAAGACAUUCAGCAAAACAAUUUCCCUGCACUACACUCUAAAAAAAGUCAAGCUAGGGAAUUGGUCCAGACAGAUAACACAACUGGGUUGGUCCAUUAAGUGACCCCUGAUGCAGCACUGCAUUGAAGGCAAAAAAGCUGUGAGAGAGAUUUGAGGGACAACUGGGGAACUUUGUAGUUAUAUAUGGACUAUAUAUUAGACAGUAUUAUUGUAUCAUCAUUAGAUUUUUCAGUGUGACAGUGGCUAUUUACAAGAAUGCCCUAGUUCUUAGGAUGUUAGUGCUGAAUCAUUAGACAAGAGACCUGAUGGCUACAACUGACAUAUAAAUGCCUCAGAGACUGAUGUAUUUUAUAUGGAGGUAAAGCAAAUGUAACAAACUGUUAAUAGUUGGUGGAUCUAAGUGAUGAGUCUAGGUGUGUUAUUGUGCAGUUUUUUCAACUUUUCUGGAAAACGAACUUUUCAAAAUAAAAAAUUGGAAAAAUAGAAUUCAAGUUAAUUUAUGAAUUUCUAGGAUACUAAGACCAUUGAUUCAACUUGCCAGGCAGCUCCUGCUGUCCUCCAACUUGCUAAUGAAAUGUUUUGAGAAACUUACCUAUAUAGCAAAUUUCUUUUAUUUUGCUUUUGUUAUAUUUUGGAGAAGGAGUCUUGCUAUUUCGCCCAGGCCUGGCUUGAACUGUCCAUCCUUCACCUUGGCUUCCUGAAUAGCUGGGGCUACAAGCAUGCACCACCAACCCUGGCAUAUAGUUAAUUUCUUUGCAGUUUCUCAACCAUACUCAACUUCUAGAGAUUGGAUCAAAGGUUCUACAUAUAUUUUUCCUCCUAUAGCAAGCUUAUUAAAUACAAAUUGGCAUGUUAAAAACCUUGGCCGGCUGGGCGCGGUGGCUCAUGCCUAUAAUCCCAACACUUUGAGAGGCAGAGGUGGGCAGAUCACCUGAGGUCAGGAGUUCGAGACCAGCCUGACCAACACGGUGAAACCCCUUCUCUACUAAAAAUACAAAAAAAUUAGCCGGGCUUGGUGGCAGGCGCCUGUAAUCCCAGCUACUCGGGAGGCUGAGACAGAAGAAUCGCUUGAACCUGGGAGGCAGAGGUUGCAGUGAGCCGAGAUCGCGCCGUUGCACUCCAGCCUGGGCAAUAAGAGCGAAACUCCGUCUCAAAAAUAAAUAAAUAAAUAAAAGCCUUG
rnacentral:lncRNA from 10 species